AGCUGACUCGUGCGGUUGCCACG
rnacentral:miRNA from 12 species